rnacentral:misc_RNA from 1 species
AAGAACCAAAGACAUGGCAGAUCAUUCAAAACACUGACGUUGGCAGCUGAGCUAAAGGGUAAACUAAACAAAACAUGAAUAUCGAUUUUGCUUUCUUGUUGUUACAAUUUACAACCCCUUCUUCCAGCCAUUUUUAUAUCAUCUACGCAUGGAUAUUUCAACUAAUUUAUCGCCCAUAAACUCAGAGUUGUUAUUUGUUAAUGAUCCUUAUAGGCUU